rnacentral:rRNA from 1 species
CUCCUACGGGAGGCAGCAGUGGGGAAUAUUGGACAAUGGGGGAAACCCUGAUGCAGCCACGCCGCGUGAAGGAUGAAGGCCUUCGGAUCGUAAACUUCUAUCAACAGGGACGAAGAAGGUGACGGUUCCUGAAUGGUAUGCCCCCGCGUAACUACAUGCCUACAGCUCGCGGUAAUUCCUAGGGGGCAAGCGUUGUCCUGAAUUACUGGGUGUCAAGGGAGCGUAUGCCUGACCCCAAGCCAUAUGCGAGAGCCCGUGGCUUACCCAUGCGGAUUGCCUUGGCUACUGGCGAGCUUUAGAGCAGGAAAUGAAAGAGUAAUUCCUAUUGUAGCGGGGAGGUGCGUCGAUAUUAGGAAGAACACCCGUGGCGAAGGCGGCUAUCUGGACUGGCGCUGGCGCUGAGGCUCGAAUGCGUGGGGAGCCAACAGGAUUAGAUACCCUGGCAGUCCAUGCCGUAUACGAUGAGUGCUCCGUGUCGGGGAGGAAUCCUGGGGGCCGCAGCUAACGCGAUAAGCACUCCGCCUGGGGAGUACGACCGCAAGGUUGAAACUCAAAGGAAUUGACGGGGGCCCGCACAAGCGGUGGAGCAUGUGGUUUAAUUCGAAGCAACGCGAAGAACCUUACCAAGGCUUGACAUCCAUAUGAUCGCUUCUAUAGAUAGAGAGUGUCUUCGGAGCAUCAUGUGACAGGUGGUGCAUGGUUGUCGUCAGCUCGUGUCGUGAGAUGUUGGGUUAAGUCCCGCAACGAGCGCAACCCUUAUCCUUAGUAGCCAUCGAUUAGGUGGGCACUUUAAGGAAGCCUCCCAGUAUUACACGGAAGAAAGGUGGGAAGGCGGCCAAUUCUCCAGGGCCCUAUCUAGUGGGGUUCCCCCCGUGUUCCAAGGGUGGAUACAGAGGGAAGCGAGCCGGCGACGGUAAGCAAAUCUCAAAAACCCAGUCCCAGUCCGGAUUGUAGUCUGCAACUCGACUCCAUGAAGUUGGAAUCGCUAGUAAUCGCGAAUCAGAAUGUCGCGGUGAAUACGUUCCCGGGCCUUGUACACACCGC